rnacentral:rRNA from 1 species
AAUUAAAUUUUGUUGGGGUGACAGUGAAAUUUAAUUAACUUUCAUUUUUAAUUGUUCAUUGAUUUAUGUUUUUUUUGAUCCUUUAUUAAGGAUUAUAAGAUUAAAUUACCUUAGGGAUAACAGCGUAAUUCUUUCGGAAAGUUCUUAUUGAUGAAUGGAGUUUGCGACCUCGAUGUUGGAUUAAAGUAAGUAAUAGGUGCAGAAGCUUAAUUACUAAGUCUGUUCGACUUUUAAAUCUUUACAUGAUCUGAGUUCAGACCGGCGUGAGCCAGGUUGGUUUCUAUCUGCAAUUGUUUAAUAUAUUUUAGUACGAAAGGACCA